CCUACGGGGGGCUGCAGUGGGGAAUAUUGGACAAUGGGGGCAACCCUGAUCCAGCCAUGCCGCGUGUGUGAAGAAGGCCCUCGGGUUGUAAAGCACUUUCAGUGAGGAAGAACGCCUGGUGGUUAAUACCCAUCAGGAAAGACAUCACUCACAGAAGAAGCACCGGCUAACUCCGUGCCAGCAGCCGCGGUAAUACGGAGGGUGCGAGCGUUAAUCGGAAUUACUGGGCGUAAAGCGCGCGUAGGUGGCUUGAUAAGCCGGUUGUGAAAGCCCCGGGCUCAACCUGGGAACGGCAACCGGAACUGUCAAGCUAGAGUGCAGGAGAGGAAGGUAGAAUUCCCGGUGUAGCGGUGAAAUGCGUAGAGAUCGGGAGGAAUACCAGUGGCGAAGGCGGCCUUCUGGACUGACACUGACACUGAGGUGCGAAAGCGUGGGUAGCAAACAGGAUUAGAUACCCGAGUAGUC
rnacentral:rRNA from 1 species